AUUUGUCAGAAAGAAUAAUAGAUUUCCCUUGAAGGAGUGAUACUGAAUGUAAAAAAUGGCUCAACUUACCCCACUCUGACCCACAGACAUACAUAGUUUAUCAUGCAUGCAACUACACCCACACAUCUCUGGUGUACAUAUUCACGCCACCAAGACAACAUUCCUGGACUCAUACACACAAGCUAACCCUGAAUCCCUCUCUGGUUGUCAGACAUCUCCCACACGCGUGGUCCUCUGGAUGGCAGCCUGUACGCCCAGGUGAAGAAGCAUCGAGGCCGGGGUUCUCCCAAUGCAUGCUCCACAGGCAACACCACAGCCAAGCCCCCUCCACCGGCCCAGCCUCAAUCUCAACCUCAGCCCCUGUCCCUCAGCUCCGACUCGGGACACUCCUCCACCCCCUCCGAACACAUGGAGGAACCCCCUCCUUGCCCCCUGUCCCACCUGGAGAAUGAGAAGGAGGUGGUGGACUGUCUACUGCGGAGGGGGGAGGGUGGAGAGAAAGACAGGGCAAUGCAGAGGGAGAGGGACCGGGAAACGGCAAUUUUGGAUGAUGGAGACUCUGUUCCAGAAGGAGGGUUGAGGCGGGUGCAGUGGUCAUGCCACGGUCGAAGAUGUCAGAGGUGUGGGGAGGCAUCGGGUUGGGAGAGGGAGCCGUGCUUUACUAACGGACAUUGUAUGGCCCGCUGUAACAGCAGCACCAAGGGGAACCUAAAGAGCCGAGCAUUAUCCGCCUUACCCUCCCAGCAGCUGGUGUCUCCUCGCCCCCUGGAGCCCCAUCUGGACAUGUGCCAUCGCCAUAGUGCCCAUCCCCUGCCCAAGUUGCCGCGGGAAUGUCCCCCGCCCCCUUUACCCUGUCUCCAUCGGCCAUGCUACCCCUACCCCGCCCCUGAACACGCCCCCCCAAACUCCCACACCAUCCCAGCCUCCAAUAGGCUCUUCUGCGGUGGAGAGGAGUGUCGGGUCUUUCAUUACCCCGCCACCCGCCCUGCCCCACCUCGCCUCUCCCACCAAUCCCUGCCCUCCAGCCCAUAUAGGGAGAUGUUUUUCAGCCCGGCGGCUCCUCCUCACUCUGAUGGCUGCCCAUGCCGAGACUGCACCUGCAAGCAAGAGCACCAAUCGGCUUCAGCCAGAGCCUUCCACCCACUGUGCCCGGACCAACCACAGAGCCUGCACUGGCCCCGAGGGCAGGACUCUGAGCUGUGGGACAGGGAUGCGGGGCUGAGGCGAGGGAGGGAGGGGCCUUCUCAACUAUGGGAGCCGGAUCAUUCGUGGGAGGCGGAGAGAGAGGCAGAGUUUUGGCAACGGAGGUCAGUGAGAGGGAUGUCACCCUAUAUAGGCUGUCACUCCCCCCUGGGUCAGGGUCCCGGGUACCCCAGCCCCCAACCCCUCCUGGACAACCCCGGUGGCAGCAGUGGGUACAACACACCCCUACCCCCCUGCCACUCCUGCCCUUGCUCUCCCUACCAGCAGGACUCCCCCUCGGAGAGCCACGGGAGGCAGAGGUAUGCCUCGGGGUACCAGUCUGGGUCCACCUUACCCCUGCCCCCUGGUAGCCCAAACCCUGGUGACUCUCAAUCGGAACCACCCACCGACCUGCAGCAACAGACUGACACUUGUGCAUCAUAUGUGGUGCAAAACAGUGUGGGUAUGGAGGACUCUUCUUCCCAGGGGUCGCUGGGGCAAAGGUUAGUAUUGGGAGAGUGGGAGCGGUGUUUGCUUUAG
rnacentral:lncRNA from 1 species